UACGUAAGCUCCAAACGUUGUUCGGUGUCACUGGGCUUAAAGGGUCCGUAGGCGGUAAAGUAAGUCAGAUGUGAAAUCCCGCGGCUCACCCGUGGAACGGCAUUUGUUACUGCUUUACUCGAGGCGCGUAGGGGUAACCGGAAUUCUGGGUGUAGCGGUGAAAUGCGUAGAUAUCCAGGAGAAGGCCGACGGCGAAGGCAGGUUACUGGGCGCGAUCUGACGCUGAGGGACGAAAGCGUGGGGAGCAAACAGA
rnacentral:misc_RNA from 1 species